rnacentral:rRNA from 1 species
UUAAUUCGAUGCAACGCGAAAACCUUACGUACCCUUGACAUGUCUGGAACCUUGGUGAGAGCCGAGGUGCCUUCGGGAGCCAGAACACAGGUGCUGCAUGGCUGUCGUCAGCUCGUGUCGUGAGAUGUUGGGUUAAGUCCCGCAACGAGCGCAACCCUUGUCACUAGUUGCCAUCAUUUAGUUGGGCACUCUAGUGAGACUGCCGGUGACAAACCGGAGGAAGGUGGGGAUGACGUCAAGUCCUCAUGGCCUUUAUGACCAGGGCUACACACGUACUACAAUGGCCGAUACAAAGGGCAGCGACACUGCGAGGUGGAGCCAAUCCCAUAAAAUCGGUCUCAGUCCGGAUUGGAGUCUGCAACUCGACUCCAUGAAGUUGGAAUCGCUAGUAAUCGCAGGUCAGCAUACUGCGGUGAAUACGUUCCCGGGUCUU